AGGACGAACGCUGGCGGCGUGCUUAACACAUGCAAGUCGAGCGGUAAGGCCCCUUCGGGGGUACACGAGCGGCGAACGGGUGAGUAACACGUGAGCAACCUGCCCUUCACUUCGGGAUAACCCCCGGGAAACCGGGGCUAAUACCGGAUAUGACCACCCACGGCAUCGUGGGUGGUGGAAAGUUCCGGCGGUGAGGGAUGGGCUCGCGGCCUAUCAGCUUGUUGGUGGGGUAUGGCCCACCAAGGCGACGACGGGUAGCCGGCCUGAGAGGGUGACCGGCCACACUGGGACUGAGACACGGCCCAGACUCCUACGGGAGGCAGCAGUGGGGAAUAUUGGACAAUGGGCGAAAGCCUGAUCCAGCAACGCCGCGUGAGGGAUGACGGCCUUCGGGUUGUAAACCUCUUUCAGCAGGGACGAAGCGAGAGUGACGGUACCUGACAAAGAAGCACCGGCCAACUACGUGCCAGCAAGCCCGAC
rnacentral:rRNA from 1 species